rnacentral:rRNA from 1 species
UACGUAGGCAGCGAGCGUUGUUCGGAGUUACUGGGCGUAAAGGGCGCGUAGGCGGCCCUCCAAGUCAGAUGUGAAAGCCCCGGGCUUAACCUGGGAAUAGCAUUUGAGACUGAAGGGCUUGAGUUCGGAGAGGUGGGUGGAAUUCCCAGUGUAGAGGUGAAAUUCGUAGAUAUUGGGAAGAACACCGGUGGCGAAGGCGGCCCACUGGACGAACACUGACGCUGAGGCGCGAAGACGUGGGAGCAAACAGG